AUUGAACGCUGGCGGCAUGCCUAACACAUGCAAGUCGAACGGCAGCACAGCAGUAGCAAUACUGUGGGUGGCGAGUGGCGGACGGGUGAGGAAUACGUCGGAAUCUGCCCAGUCGUGGGGGGAUAACUAGCCGAAAGGUUAGCUAAUACCGCAUACGACCGAGAGGUGAAAGCGGGGGGACCGCAAGGCCUCGCGCGAUUGGAUGAGCCGACGUCGGAUUAGCUAGUUGGCGGGGUAAAGGCCCACCAAGGCGACGAUCCGUAGCUGGUCUGAGAGGAUGAUCAGCCACACUGGAACUGAGACACGGUCCAGACUCCUACGGGAGGCAGCAGUGAGGAAUAUUGCGCAAUGGGCGAAAGCCUGACGCAGCGACGCCGCGUGGGGGAUGAAGGUUUUCGGAUUGUAAACCCCUUUCAUGAGGAAAGAUAAAGUGGGUAACCACUUAGACGGUACCUCAAGAAGAAGCCACGGCUAACUUCGUGCCAGCAGCCGCGGUAA
rnacentral:rRNA from 1 species